UACGGAGGGAGCUAGCGUUGUUCGGAAAUACUGGGCGUAAAGCGCACGUAGGCGGCGCAGCAAGUCAGGGGUGAAAUCCCGGGGGCUCAACCCCCGGAACUGCCCUUGAAACUGCAGUGCUAGAAUCUUGGAGAGGCGAGUGGAAUUCCGAGUGUAGAGGUGAAAUUCGUAGAUAUUCGGAAGAACACCAGUGGCGAAGGCGACUCGCUGGACAAGUAUUGACGCUGAGGUGCGAAAGCGUGGGGAGCAAACAGGG
rnacentral:rRNA from 1 species